rnacentral:lncRNA from 1 species
ACCUGAGCGGCCCGGGUGCCGCAGCAGGGCGCUGACGAGUCCCGCCGAGCCCCGCCGCCCGGGUUCAAGGCCGCCUUCACGCCCACGAUUCCUUGUUUUUUGGGCAGAGGUCAAGGCUCAACGGAGAGGGAGCCCGGGACCGAGUUGUGGUGGGAGUUUGCUCCUAACACCCGCGAAAUCCUACCUCAAUUCCUCAGAUGGCCUGAGGGAGAAACCGGAGGGCCCGGGAAUGGCGGGGAGCUCCAGUUCAGAGCCGGAACUCCGGACUUCUGCAAGGCCAGACGUGAGGCGACACUGAAUUGCUCCCGAGACGCGGGAAGGGCGAAGGCAAUCGAAGCGAAGAGCUUUAACUCAUCUUCUCCAGGAUUUGGGGCACGGGAACCUGUCUCCUGACCUUCGUGCCUUACCUCGGAGUGUGCUGCCCAGACGGACUUGUGAAUAGCUGCGUCUGUCCCCAUAGUUAACGGGAGAAGGAAACACCAGGAGAAAAGAAGGAAAAGACAGGAAACGGGAAGAGGAGCAGAGGCGAGGAAGGGGAAGGUCAUUUCCUUGGCAGGGAUGAAUAAUGAAGCCCACCGCUUAUGCAGUACUGACUGUGUGCUUUGCCUGUGCUGACACCUAUGUUAACGCAUUUAAUUAUCAACACAAUCUCUGGAGUGUGGGUAGCCUUACCCCAAUUUUACAGGCUCCUGUGGGAAGGACUCCAUCGCAUUGAUCACUGGGUUUUCCCGUGCCAUCCAUAGAACUUUGUGCUUAAUAAUGACUCAAUAAAUAUGAUUAGAUGGAUGGAUGUAAAAUAUGGACUUGGGAGAAAGAAAAAUUAGAAGAAUAAAAAAUAAAUGGAAUGAAUAAUGAAAUAAUAAUAGUCAUAUUAUUAUUUCACUCAGCGUUUGCAUGCCUUGUCACAUUACUUCUUAUUAACCUUACCUACAAAGAAGUAAAGUGAAUUGCUUGCUGCAAGUUUGAUGGGACUAAAAAGAAGGAAAGUGAGGCUUUGAGGCUUAGAGAGGUAAAGUAAUAAUUCACUUAAGGUUACAUAACUAAGUGUCAGUGCCUCCAUCUGGACUCAGAUCAGGUGACUCUAGAGCUCAUGUUCCUUAUCACUGUGUUUGCAGCAUAGCAUGAAGAAGGGGGUAAAGAAAGAAGCGUAUUCUUGGGCAAUUGAUUGAAGUUCUGUGUUAGCUAUAAUUUGUUUAAAAAUUCUUCACUUUAGGCAGAGGAGUCUCUGUGUGUGUGUGUGCAUGUGUGUGUGUGUGUGUGUGUGUGUGUGUAUACAUUAACUUUAAACCCUAGAAGUGGUUAGUUUUUAUUCGAAUACCAUAAUCAGUAAUUCAAAUCCCCAGCAUGGUAAAUUAGCAUUAAAGAAUUCCAAACUUUGGAGGCCACUGUAUCGAGUGUCACCAUCUAAAUCUGCUCUUGGCAAUAGGCCAAAUUGACUUGGUCAAGAGGCCACAGGUACAUCAGUAUUGUAAAAGGGGUUUGUUGACUUUGAAAGAGCAGGACAGAUAAAUUCAAAAGGCCUAAAUUCAAGAUCCAAUUCCAUUUGUAGUUGGCCCUUUAAUCUUUUGAAAUCACUUAUCACCACCUCUGGACCCUUCUUUCCUUAUAUGUAUAGUGGGGCUUUCAAAGAGCUAAUGUAGACCAAAUUCAAUGCUAUACGUUUAAACAGUAAGUAACACAAUACUAUAUAUAGAUCUAGGGAGUCCCACACCAUUGAUAAUCAAAAUGCCAUUAAGGGGGAUGCAGAAUAUACAUGUGGUAUAAUUCUAAGGUAUAAAAUUAGGGGAAUUACAUAUUAUCCACAUAUGUGUGUGUGUGUGUGUGUGUGUGUGUAUAUAUAUAUAUAUAUAUAAACAAUCUAGACAUAAACUGAAGAGUAGUUACUUUGAGAGCAGAAGAUUGGGGUCGUGGAGAGUGGGGAGGUCAGUGAGUAUGGAAGGAGACUUUGCUUUUACUGUACGACCCUCUGUAAUGUUUAAAAUUUUCAAACUUUAUAUCUUGAUCAUGUUUACAAUCGCUACAUUUUUAAUUUAAAAAGAUUGUUUCUAUCAGUGAAUCUUGCCAAGAAAAAGAGGUGGCGAUAGAGAAAAAGAGCAACAAAUCAAAAGAGAUUAUGAUUAUAUUGCAAUAAAGCUGUUUUUUAAAAAGAGGAUAUGGAUUUUAGAACAUUAGGAAACAUUGUCCUAAGCCAUAGAAACCACUGUUUAAAACCUGGGUACGACUACAUGGCAUUAAUGAGUCUAGUGCUGCUCAGAAGAGAGAAAUGCUAGAGGACCAGAUAUUUGUAUUAUUUUAAGAAAUGACUUCUAUUAUUUAGAAAAUUUAUUAUUUUAAAUUUAUACUUAUUUAAGUAUUAAAUAUUUAGGUAUAUCUGAAUUUAAAUAAAAUUCUCAAUUUCAUUCUGAAGAUGCACUUAAUAAUGAAGUCAGGUAGUGAAAGUCUGAUACCUUGUUUGGUGACUUCCUGCAACUCACCAUGGGGAAGGUUCCCCCACUCAGGACUUCAGGUGCAACCUGUGGUGUGCUAGGAAUCAUCUGCGCUGAGUGUAUUUAGCAGGAUGAGCACCAGGGUUCCAGCAGGCUCACAUUUCACUAUGUAAGCACCAAGUGAAUGGGGGGAUCCUUGAGGGGCCACACUUUGCCAGGAAGGUUCUUUCCAGAUUUAUCUUCCACUUUAACUGUCUUCAGGGGAUUUUUCAUCAAUAUCUGGUAGCCCCUCAGCGACUCUAGUUUGGAACACAUCUCAAGGUAGAUUCAACAUAUUACAUGAACUUGUCAGAUUGUAUGACAAGGAGAAGGAGUUAAUUAAGUGGAGAAAGGGUGGUGAGGUUCACAGAAAGAGGUCGGGGUAUCCGCAAGUAGGGGAAUUGGAACAGAAAUAGUCCAGUAUGGAUACAGCAGUGGUUCUCAAACUUCAGCAGGCCUAAGAAUCACCUGGAGGGCUCCUUAAAAGAGAGAUUGCUGAGUCCUAGACCCAGAGUUUGAGAUUUGUUAGAUUUGGGGUGGGGCUUGAGAAUUUGCAUCUCUAACAAGUUUGCAGGUGAUGCUGAUGCUGCUGGCCCAGGGACCAUGCUUUGAGAAUCACUGAGCUUAAAGAUUUGGGAAGAAGAUGGUGAGAAUUGAAUCUGGAGAGGAAGGCAGAUUGUAGGCCAAGUUAAGAAACCUGAAUUAUAUUCUAAGGGGCAUUGGGAAGCCACUGGAAGUAACAUGUUUUGGCAGGUGUUUUAGAAACAUUGCUACACAAUGAUGAGAGUGGAUUAUGGAGCAGGUGGAGCACUUACCCUUCCUGGAGGCUAGGAGAUAGUUAGAUGCCUUUCUGGGUGAGAUAUGUGAGGGUGAUUGGAGAAGGUGAGGAGAUUGUUUCUCAAAGUUCUUAGAAUUGUAUGGAUUUGAGAAAUGUUUAGGUGGAGGGACUGGCAAUUGUUUGGAUAUGAGCAAAGGGGUGGUGAGGGAGAGGGAGAAAUGAAAGGUGUCUAGGCUUGGAGAAUCUGCUAAAGAGGGCUGUAUUUAUGGAUAUGGGGACCAAGAAACAGAAGCAAUAUGAAUAGAAAAACAGGGAAUUCAUUUUUAAACAAUUUUUAGAGAAAUGGUCUCACUCUGCUGGCCAGGCUUGAGUGCAGUGGUGUGAUCAUGGCUCACUGCAGCCUCUACUUCCCAGGCUCAUGUGAUCCUCCCACCUCAGCCUCUCAUGUACCUGGGACUACAGCAGGUGCCACCAUAUAUCUUAUAUAUAAAGCUGUAGUAAUUUUUUUUAAAGUUUUUUUUUUUUUAACAUAGAGAUGGGGGUCUUGCUAUGUAGCCCGGACUGGUCAUGAACUCCUGGGCUGAAGUGAUCCUCCUGCCUCAGCCUCCCAAAAUGCUGGGAUUACAAGUGUCAGCCACUGUUCCCAGCCUCAGAGAGUCCAUUUAAAGCUGUGGUUUCCAUUUUAUAUUGUAGGAGAAAUCUGGAGAGUUUUCUUCAAAGUGGAGUGACAAAAGUCAUGUUUAUCCUAAUCAUCAUUUUCAGGCCUUGAAUCAAUUCAUGUAAUAAAUGUAUUUUUUAUAUUAGCCCUUUCUUAAGAAAGGUCUGAGUAAUGUCUUCUGCACUCAAUACUGCCUAUGAUGGGACAACCAGGUUCCAUUUUAAAAGUUUGAAAAUAUCUGUACUGCUUUCUCUUCUAAUGGAAAACAUCAUUUCCUGAUGUUUUCAAUCCCUGUCAAGAAUUGCAUAAUGGAUGAUUUAGUUAUGAACUGGAAAAAUAAUUCCCUCCUUUACACAUGAAGAACUAGAAAUUCAUAGAAAAAGGCCAGCAUCCUUGAAGGAAAAAAAAAGUUCACAGAAAAAUAAAUACAGAUCUCCUUAAAUAUCUCAAAGUGUACUUAAACUCAUAAAAAGAGAAUGAAAAUUAAAACACAGUAGAAGAAAAGUGCUGAAAAGCAGGGGCAGAAAGCUAAAAGAGAAUGCUACUGGGAUUCUCCCACCCAGCUCCUUCUCUCACACCCAGAAAUCCUUCCCUGGAAAACAGUGUGAGUAAUGAAAACUACAAGUAGCCACAGAAAGGUAGAAGUGGCUGGUGUGGCGGUGGGUUACUUUUAAGCUGUUACUUUUUCAUUGCUUUGCUGAGUAGAGUAGAUAUUCACUAGCCUAGGUUGGCUGUGACUCCAAGAUAGGACUCAAACUGAGCAAAUCAAAGUCCAGAGAAAAGAAUCAGCUUUAUAUGAGUUGCAAUUAAGGAUUAAUCCAUAUGCAACAUGAAAAAAAUACUGUAUUAUAGCUUAUAUUUAAUCUUUCUUACUCCUUGUAUUAAGUAUUCAUGUUCACAUUUGUUAUAAAAGAGCUGAGGUUUUGUAAAAGUAAAAAAACAAUUAUUGUCACUAAACGGAAUCUUGGAGUAAAAAGAAUUAACACAUACACACCUGUAAGACCUAUAUUCACCUCAUGGUGUCAUAUCCCAAUUACAGUUUCAGUUGUUUUCAAUUGUUCAGCUCAGUAUAAGAUCAGAGAGAAGACACCAUAAAUAAGUGCACAAUAUACUGAGUUUGAUAGAAUUCCUCAUGGUCCAGAGAAGCCAAAAAUCAGAGAUUAUUCAUUUUUUUUAUUUCUAAGAUAAAUAAUAUAUGUGCUUUUUUUUUUUUUUUUUUUUUUUUUGCUGUUGUUGUUGUUGUUGUUUGAGACAGAGUUUUGCUCUUGUUGCCCAUGCUGGAGUGCAGUGGUGUUACCUUGGCUCACCGCAACCUACCUCUGCCUUCCGGGUUCAAAGGAUUCUCCUACCUCAGCCUCCCGAGUAGCUGGGAUUACAGGCAUGCACCACCACGCCCGGCUAAUUUUUGUAUUUUUAGUAGAGACGGGGUUUCUCCAUGUUGGUCAAGCUGGUCUCAAACUCCCGACCUCAGGUGAUCCGCCCACCUCAACCUCCCAAAGUGCUGGGAUUACAGGAGUGAGCCACCGUGGCUGGCCAUACAUGUGCUUAUUAACUUACAUAUACUUUUGUCCAAAUAAAUUUUUUUAAAAUACUUGCAUGCUUUAUUCAAAAUACACUGUGAGUACAUGUCUAUGCUAAUAUUCUGUAGUAUCAUUUGAAGUGGCUAUAUUAUCUUAUAGAGGUGCCCUGAUUUUGUUUUUAAAAAUAAAUAUCCUCUGCAGAACACACUGUCAAGAGAAUGAGAAGACAAGCAACAGACUGGGAGAAAAUAUUUGCAAGAGACAUACCUAACAAAAGAUUGUUAUUCCAAAUAUUCAAAGCACUCUUAAAACUUAAUAAGAAAACAAAACAACAACAAAAGGAAGAUUUUUAAAAUGGGCCAAUGGUAUAAACAGGCACCUUAUCAGAGAAGACAUACAGAUAGCAAACAAGCAUAAUGUUCAACAUUUUAUGUCAUCAGGUAAUUGGAAAUCAAAAUGAGAUACCACUUCAUAAUAGUAUAAUCCAAAAUACUGACACCACCAAAUGCUGGCCAGGAUGUGGAGUAAUAGGAGCUCUCAUUCACUGCUUGGUGCAAAUGCAAAGCAGUAUAGCCACUUGGAAUAAUUUGGCAGUUUCCUUCAAAAUUAAACAUACUUCUACCAUAUGAUCCAGCAAAUUGUACUCCCCAGUGUUUUUUGAGGGGGUAGUGAAAGAGUACAGGUGUAGAGUUGUUACCUGGGUAUACUGCAUGAUGCUGAGGUUUGGGAUAUGGAUGGUCCUGUCACCCAAGUGAUGAGCAUAGUACCCAACAGUUAGUUUUUCAGCCCAUAGCCUCAUUCUCCCUUCUGUCUAGUGGUCCCCAGUGUCUGUUGUUCCCAUUUUUGUCUAUGUGUAUUCAAUGUUUAGCUCCCACUUAUAAGUGAGGACAUGCAAUAUUUGGUUUUCUGUUCCUGCAUUAAUUUGCUUAGGAUGACCUCUAGCUGCAUCCAUGUUGCUGCAAAGGACAUGGUUUUGUUCUAAAAUUUGUAAUAAAUGCAAUAGAAACCAAGUUUGUUUUAUGCCUACUGUAUUCCAGUACUUUUUAUAAAUGUAGCUUUUUAGAUAGUCUGAUAUAAUCUCAUAAAAUCUAAAACAUCUAGUUCUUCAUUUGGAUCCCUAGGUCUGCAAUAUUUAAUCUUGCUGUAUUCAUCUGUGACUUAGCAUUUUCCCAUGGACAAUGUAAACAAAAAAGAAAAUAAUUAUUUUAGCAUGAAAUAAAUCCAAUACAAUAUGUAGCAAACUACUUAAAUAUAUAAAUAACAACACAGGCCAAAUGGAUACAGGCCAAAUUUAAGAAUACUACUGAAAUUUAAAUUUAAAAUCCAUUAAAUGAUUCAUCUAAAAGCAGAACUCAAACAUAUCUACAAAACAUGAAGAAACUGUAUACAUCAGGAAAAACAGUAAUAAAAUACUAGUUCGUUCUAUGGCAGUAGCAUCAUGUAGUGGUUAGCGGUACAGGCUCUGGCAUCAGAAAUAGACUGAAUAUCUGUGAAAUGUUAACAGUGAUAUAAUAUCAAUACUUACUCCAGGCUGCAAUUAGGAUUAAAUAAGAUAACGAAUGUAAUACUUUCAUUGCAUUGUUUGGCAUAUUGUAAUUAACUGACAAAUAUUUUCAUGAUGAUGAUAGGGAAAAAGUAUGAGAAGUGAAGUAAAGUGGUUUGAUAAAUUACAAUGGAAAGAAACACAUGAAAGUCUCUCUCUAGGGCUUAUGAUGAUUUUAUAGGAGGUACAGUGAGCAGAAAAACUCUCCCUCUGUGAGCUGGGCACGCGGCCCUGAUCCUAGCAUUGCUGCUGCUUAACCAUGUGGUCACGGACGACUGACUUCAUUCUCCUGGCUUUAGUUCACAGUUCUGUUCAAUGAGGAGGUGGCAAGACCUUCCUGUCCCAACCCUUAUUUCCUCUUUGUCUCUAAAGUGGACUCCCAUUAAGGAAGAGAGCUGAUGGAAACCUCCUUAGGAACUGGGAAUUUGAGUUGCAAUAUUUCAUUGAUUUUUGUUGUUGUUGUUUCAAAUUAAGAGUCCAUUCACUUUCAGCUUUCCACAAGAGAAAUUAAUAUGGCCAUGCUUGCCUAUCCAAACUCCAUAAGGAAGCAGCUGCUUUCCCAUUUCUCCUAGCCAUAUGCCUUCAGAAUUAAACACAGACAAAACUGGGAUUUUAGUUAGUCUUUAAUAUAACUCCAACUUUUUAAUGGUAAACAAAGAUGUAAGUACAAAACAUCAAAAUACGUUAUCAGUAGUUCUAAACAGCC